rnacentral:SRP_RNA from 1 species
GCCAGGCAUGGUGGUGCAUGCCUGUAAUCCCAGCUACUCGGGAGGCUGAGGCGGAAGAAUUGCUUGAACCCGGGAGGCAGAGGUUGAGGUGAGCCAAGAUCGUGCCACUGCAUUCCAGCCUGGGUGACAGAGCAAAACUCCGUCUCAA